rnacentral:rRNA from 1 species
CCUACGGGAGGCAGCAGUGGGGAAUAUUGCACAAUGGGCGAAAGCCUGAUGCAGCAACGCCGCGUGAAGGAAGACGGUUUUCGGAUUGUAAACUUCUAUCAAUAGGGAAGCAAGAAAUGACGGUACCUACAUCAGAAGCCCAGGCUAACUACGUGCCAGCAGCCGCGGUAAUACGGAGGAUGCGAGCGUUAUCCGGAUUUAUUGGGUUUAAAGGGUGCGUAGGCGGAAGGUUAAGUCAGCGGUAAAAUGUCGGUGCUCAACACCGGCCUGCCGUUGAAACUGGUCUUCUUGAGUGAGCGAGAAGUAUGCGGAAUGCGUGGUGUAGCGGUGAAAUGCAUAGAUAUCACGCAGAACUCCGAUUGCGAAGGCAGCAUACCGGCGCUCAACUGACGCUGAGGCACGAAAGCGUGGGGAUCGAACAGGAUUAGAUACCCCAGUAGUC